rnacentral:rRNA from 1 species
AUAUGCUUGUCUCAAAGAUUAAGCCAUGCAUGUCUAAGUUUAAGCAAUAAACGGUGAAACUGCGAAUGGCUCAUUAAAUCAGUCAUAGUUUAUUUGAUGGUACCCUACUACAUGGAUACCUGUGGUAAUUCUAGAGCUAAUACAUGCCGAAAAAUCCCGACUUCUGGAAGGGAUGUAUUUAUUAGAUCCAAAACCAAUGGCCUUCGGGUCUCCUUGGUGAAUCAUGAUAACUGCUCGAAUCGCAUGGCCUUGCGCCGGCGAUGCUUCAUUCAAAUAUCUGCCCUAUCAACUUUCGAUGGUAGGAUAGUGGCCUACCAUGGUCGCAACGGGUAACGGGGAAUUAGGGUUCUAUUCCGGAGAGGGAGCCUGAGAAACGGCUACCACAUCCAAGGAAGGCAGCAGGCGCGCAAAUUACCCAAUCCCG